UACGAAGGGGGCGAGCGUUGUUCGGAUUUACUGGGCGUAAAGGGCGCGCAGGCGGCGGAUCAAGUCAGACGUGAAAGCCCCGGGCUUAACCUGGGAACUGCGUUUGGGACUGAUUUGCUAGAGAUCGGGAGAGGAGAGUGGAAUUCCCAGUGUAGAGGUGAAAUUCGUAGAUAUUGGGAAGAACACCAGUGGCGAAGGCGGCUCUCUGGACCGAUACUGACGCUGAGGCGCGAAAGCGUGGGGAGCAAACAGG
rnacentral:rRNA from 1 species